rnacentral:snRNA from 1 species
AUGCUUACCUGGCAGGGAGAAACCACGAUCACGAAGGUGGUUUUCCCAGGGCAAGGCUUAUCCAUUGCACUCCGGAUGUGCUGACCCCUGCAAUUUACCCAAAUGUGGGAAACUCGACUGCAUAAUUUGUGGUAGUGGGGGACUGUGUUUGCGCUUUCCCCAA